AUCAUGUAUGGAUGUGAGAGUUGGACUAUAAAGAAAGCUGAGCACUGAAGAAUUGAUGCUUUUGAACUGUGGUGUUGGAGAAGACUCUUGAGAAUCACUUGGACGGCAAGGAGAUCCAACGAGUCCAUCCUAAAGGAAAUCAGUCCUGAAUAUUCAUUGGAAGGACUGAUGCUGAAGCUGAAACUCUCAAUAAUUUGGCCACCUGAUGCAAAGAACUGACUCAUUUGAAAAGACCCUGAUGCUGGGAAAGAUUGAGGGUGAGAGGAAAAGGGGACAACAGAGAAUGAGAUGGUUGGAUGGCAUCACUGACUUGAUGGACAUGAGUUUGAGUAAACUCCAGGAGUUGGUGAUAGACAGGGAGGCCUGGUGUGCUGCAGUCCAUGGGAUUGCAAAAAGUUGGAGAUGACUGAGCGACUGAACUGAACUGAACUGGACUGAUUUUCUGGUAUUAACUAUUGGUAUGGAAGGUGUAAAGUCAAAUAUGCUGAAUGGCUCUCCAUCAACAAAUUAAAGAGGCAAAUAUAAAAUCCAGAUUUUUCAGAUUCUGAAAGCACAAGAAAGUUACCUGGAUCAGAGAAAACAGAUCCAGUUUUAUGGAGAGAAAAGGUAACUGUGAAAUGGUCUUCAUAUUCCCCAUGAAGAAUAUACAGCAAUGCUUGAUGGAGUCGAUGGUGGCUCGUACCACACUCCAGUCAGCUCUACAGCUUGUGGAAGAGUCUAAGACUAAAGAUGUCUGGGGGACCUUCUUGGCAAAGAAAAAGCACUGCAUCUGGACUGAGGUAAAAAGUUGCAUGGCUCAUGUGACUUGUUUAUUCUUGGACCAUCUCUUAGCUUUCCUGUUUGUCUGGUAUCUUACACACACUCAAGAUUGGAUCUCCAAAUGCGCCCUGUGAAGACACCAUUCUCACCACAAUCGGACAGAAGUCCACAGCUUUCUCUGUGAAUCCAUUGUCAUUGGAGGGACUUUGGACGUUGCUUCCAGAACCACAUAACAGUUAUGUCAGGACUGCCACUACUAUUUCAGCAGAGGGAGUUCAUCAGCCCCUUGUUUUCCUUGCUUUACUUGUCUCAAUGUUGAAGUCCGUACUGAGAACAUCUGUUUGACUACUCAUUUCAUACAUCUACACUUCAACUGCAUAGGAGUUUACAAAAGUAUCCAGCAUUUUAGACCUCAGUCAUGGGAGAUAUUCUUUGUCUAAAUAGAUGGAGAAUUCUUUUAGACACAGCAAAAUGUAUGGGCUCCAGAUGAUUAAAAUAUGGCC
rnacentral:lncRNA from 1 species